UUCGCAAUGCCCGAAAGGGUGACGAAGCGACGCCGCGUGUGGGAAGAAGGCCUUCGGGUUGUAAACCACUGUCGGGAGUUAAGAAAUGCAAGGAUAUGAAUAGUGUCUUUGCUUGACUAAGGCUCCGGAGGAAGCCACGGCUAACUCUGUGCCAGCAGCCGCGGUAAUACAGAGGCGGCAAGCGUUGUUCGGAAUUAUUGGGCGUAAAGAGCACGUAGGCGGCUAUGUAAGUCGGUUGUGAAAGCCUUCCGCUCAACGGGAGAACAGCAUCCGAUACUACAUGGCUUGAGUGCGGGAGGGGAGAGUGGAACUUCUGGUGGAGCGGUGAAAUGCGUAGAUAUCAGAAGGAACGCCGGCGGCGAAAGCGGCUCUCUGGCCCAUAACUGACGCUGAGUGUGCGAAAGCUAGGGGAGCAAACGGGAUUAGAUACCCCGGUAGUCCUAGCCGUAAACGAUGGGCACUAAGUAGAGGGGUAUUU
rnacentral:rRNA from 1 species